rnacentral:rRNA from 1 species
CAUGGAGGGUGAGAAUCCCGUUCGGUUAACCAAAGCGCUUUACGAUACGCUUUCAAAGAGUCAAGUUGUUUGGGAUUGCAGCUUAAAAUGGGAGGUAAAUUUCUCCUAAGGCUAAAUAUUGGCGAGAGACCGAUAGCGAACAAGUACCGUGAGGGAAAGAUGAAAAGAACUUUGAAAAGAGAGUUAAACAGUACGUGAAAUUGUUGAAAGGGAAACGAUUAAAGUCAGUCGUACCUACGAGUGAUCAACCUACUCGAGUGCGAUUUUGUGGGUAUGUUAGAGCUUAAAAACCUUCAUGCUUACAAAUUGGUGCUCUUUGGGCGUACUUUCUCGUAUGGUAGGUUAACAUCAAUUUCGAUCGUUAUAAAAUGACUGGAGGAAUGUAGCUUCGAUCUCGGUUGAAGUGUUAUAGCCUUUGGUAGAUGUAAUGAUUGGGAUUGAGGAUUGCAACGGAUACCCUCUGGGCUAUUCGUCUGAUCUCUGGAAGUUACCUUGGUGUCGAAAGCGUGCUUACGAUAUUAAGGUUGACGGCCAAUAGGUUAGAACGUGAUUAAAUUCGUUAAGGAUGUUGACGUAAUGG